UUACAGCCCCCGGAUUGGAGCGAAAUUGGGCUCUCCCCGAGGCUUGGAAAUCACUGGGGUCGAUUGCUAUGGCUGCUGACUCCCCCCUUGGACCGUUUCUGCUAAUUAUUUAUAUUAAGAAGAAUCAGAAUCUGAGAAAGGACACCCAGGAGAUUCGCUUGGUGGCAGGUUGGUCCCCGUCUCUGUCCACUCUGGAGACUUGGGAGGGGUGCUGUCAUUUACUGAGCCUGCGAGGUGGCAGGCACUGCACUUGCCUCUCCUGACAUCCGCUCAUCGGACCCUCCUUGAGGAAGUGUCAUCAAGGCCCCAGGGGAGCCGUGUGUCCCUGCCGCCUGAUUCAUGGAAUGGUGACCUGCAGCCCCAGGAGUGCCCGGUCCCGGGCCUCCUCCUGCUCCUUGCUCACUCUGGAGGGACCCGGAGGGGACAGACAUGGAAAAGGGGAGUGAGCAAAAGGCAGAGAAGGACCCUU